GACAAAAUUACUUCGCCAAUGAACUCAUGAGUCGUUUUUUAAGCCAUUUAAAGCACUUGUAGUCGUGUUUUAUCAGAUAUAAAACGCUCGGCUGCGCCUCGCGUUUUAUAUCUGAUAAAACACUCCCACGCGUGUUUUAAAUAGUACUUAAACAUUUUUUUAGUUGUGUAUUUGUUCAUACAAAUAGAAGUUAUCCUAAAUUCAGUGUGCAGAAGACCUUGUGUUUUCACGCAUUCAUUAAUUCGAGAAAUUAUACGGCUGUCAAAUUACUACAAUAGAUUACGGUUAAAUGUGUUUAUGCAAUAAAAAUAGUUAACUUCUAGCACGAGUUGUGAUGUGGGUCGUUAUAAUAUGUAAAUUAUGCAUUUAUGCAGGGUUCAAUUUCAUUGACCAAUCAGAAGCAGUCUGUUGUCAGCGGGCGGGGGUUUGCCAUUUGCUGUGCUCACGGGCUGUGCUCACUUGCAUUAUACAAUUACUUUAUGGUUUCCGUGUUUGGAUGGCCUGAUCCAAACACGCGGGAAUGUUGCGAGAGUUAAGAAAAGCGAGCGAAAACACGAGCCGAAGGCGAGUGAUUUUGCUCGCUUUUCUUAACUCGAGCAACAUUCCCAAGUGUUUGGAUCAGGCCAUCCAAAUACGGAAACCAUAAAGUAAUUGUUUUAUAAAAUAACAACAACACGAUAGUCUCCGUGUUUGGAUGGCCUGAUCCAAACACGGGUUUCGCCCAAUCAGAACACGCGUUAUAUACAUGUUAUUUUAUAAUACUGCUUCUCACACUGUGAACUCGAUUGCCCAAGAUAGUGUUUCCCCCUUGCCUGCGGUGGCGCCGGCUGCUUGCCGGGUUUUUGUUUUCAGGCUGCUUGCCUGUGCUUGCUGGCUGCUGGCCGGUCUACCUCCGGCUGUUUUUUUUUGCCGGUCCCAUGGGCUGCCUGCCUGCCCCCCCCCCCUCUGGCUCUUUGCUCGAUCUCGGGCUAUUGUCCCCUCCCCGUGCGGCUGCUUGCCGGGUGUUCGGCUGCUUGCCGAUGUGUGUAUCUGUGGUUCAGCAUAUUUAAUUUCGUGAUUUGUUCGUCUGCUUGUACGUCCGUUUGUCCCCUCACCAUUUGUCCUUUUGUCUGUCCGUGAAGUGCUUAUUCUCUGUUGUGUGUGUCCUUGGCACAGUGUAAAUGGUGGGGGUAGUCCUUUUUGUCAUCCUUGCUAGCAAUGUCCGUGUUGUGUUCGUUAUUUGCAUUAUGCCGCACCCGCUCGUCGGGCUUGCUCUCCGGCUAGUCCGG